GAUAAAUAGAAAAUUGUAAAAUGAGAGAACAGAACGUGAAGUCUCCCUCUCACCCUUCUUUCACGUUUCAAAUUUGAAUUUCAAUCUCUUCCUUCUUUCUCUUUCUUUCAAAUUUGAGUUUGAAUCUCUUCUUUCUGUCAUCAUUCUCUUAUCUUUACAAUUAUUUUCGGUAGCAAACAAAUCUCUGACCCCUUUUUAUUCUCUUUUUUUCCUGCGUUUUUUAUGAAGCACGGACGUGAGUUUUGUAAAAAAAGAUCAGAUUAAAAUGCUUCUCGUCUUCCCCUAGCUUUAACUGAACCCUAGCUUAUGGGUUCAUGGCAUUUUUUACCAUUCGGGUUAUUUUUUUCAUUGCUUUGGGUUUUGUUGGAGGUCUGUCGGCGCCGGAGUUGUUCUUUUUGCUUCUACUGCCAAAGACGGCUGCACACGAAAAAGAGAGAAAGAGAAUCAAGGCUCAUGGUUGUUCCUAUGAUAUUUUUCAUUUUAUUUUAUUUAUUAUAAUUUUUAUGAAAACACUGUUGUUUUAUUUAUUAUUGGACCUGUUUAUUGUAAAUUUCAUGAUGAUUCGUCUUCCUUUUCUCCUUUCCUGUCUUAUUUUCUUUUUUCUUUUUACCCGUUCAUGGUACGAUCUUCUAUUUUUGUGUGUAAUGCUUUGGAAUAAUUUGACAAAAAAUCAGCUACAUUACUAUGUUUGACAACUAGAAUACUACGUUUGUCUUUGCAUCAAUUGUUAUUGAGUUUGCCUCUUCUAAAA